GCAUAUCAAUAAGCGGAGGAAAAGAAACUAACAAGGAUUCCCCUAGUAACUGCGAGUGAAGCGGGAAAAGCUCAAAUUUUGAAUCUGGCGGUCUCUGGCCGUCCGAGUUGUAAUCUAGAGAAGUGCUUUCCGCGCUGGACCGUGUACAAGUCUCCUGGAAUGGAGCGUCAUAGAGGGUGGGAAUCCCGUCUCUGACACGGAUCCCAGUGCUUUGUGAUGCGCUCUCGACGAGUCGAGUUGUUUGGGAAUGCAGCUCAAAUUGGGUGGUAAAUUCCAUCUAAAGCUAAAUAUAGGCGAGAGACCGAUAGCGAACAAGUACCGUGAGGGAAAGAUGAAAAGAACUUUGGAAAGAGAGUUAAACAGUACGUGAAAUUGCUGAAAGGGAAACGCUUGAAGUCAGUCGCGUUAGCUUGAGAUCAGCCUAGCUCUUUUGCUUGGUGUAUUCUCUUGUUGACGGGUCAGCAUCAAUUUUGGCUGCCGGAUAAAGGCAGAGGGAACGUGGCACCUUUCGGGGUGUGUUAUAGCCCUUUGUUGUAUACGGUGACUGGGAUUGAGGAACUCAGUACGACCUUCGGGUUUGGGGCUUCGGCCUACAUUUCGUGCUUAGGAUGCUGGCAUAAUGGCUUUAAUCGACCCGUCUUGAAACACGGACC
rnacentral:rRNA from 1 species